AAAGGCGCUUCGGCGUCACCUAGAGAUGGAUCCGCGGUGCAUUAGUUAGUUGGUGGGGUAAAGGCCUACCAAGACAAUGAUGCAUAGCCGAGUUGAGAGACUGAUCGGCCACAUUGGGACUGAGACACGGCCCAAACUCCUACGGGAGGCUGCAGUAGGGAAUCUUCCACAAUGGGCGAAAGCCUGAUGGAGCAACGCCGCGUGUGUGAUGAAGGCUUUCGGGUCGUAAAGCACUGUUGUAUGGGAAGAACAGCUAGAAUAGGAAAUGAUUUUAGUUUGACGGUACCAUACCAGAAAGGGACGGCUAAAUACGUGCCAGCAGCCGCGGUAAUACGUAUGUCCCGAGCGUUAUCCGGAUUUAUUGGGCGUAAAGCGAGCGCAGACGGUUUAUUAAGUCUGAUGUGAAAGCCCGGAGCUCAACUCCGGAAUGGCAUUGGAAACUGGUUAACUUGAGUGCAGUAGAGGUAAGUGGAACUCCAUGUGUAGCGGUGGAAUGCGUAGAUAUAUGGAAGAACACCAGUGGCGAAGGCGGCUUACUGGACUGCAACUGACGUUGAGGCUCGAAAGUGUGGGUAGCAAACAGGAUUAGAUACCCUGGUAGUCCACACCGUAAACGAUGAACACUAGGUGUUAGGAGGUUUCCGCCUCUUAGUGCCGAAGCUAACGCAUUAAGUGUUCCGCCUGGGGAGUACGACCGCAAGGUUGAAACUCAAAGGAAUUGACGGGGACCCGCACAAGCGGUGGAGCAUGUGGUUUAAUUCGAAGCAACGCGAAGAACCUUACCAGGUCUUGACAUCCUUUGAAGCUUUUAGAGAUAGAAGUGUUCUCUUCGGAGACAAAGUGACAGGUGGUGCAUGGUCGUCGUCAGCUCGUGUCGUGAGAUGUUGGGUUAAGUCCCGCAACGAGCGCAACCCUUAUUGUUAGUUGCCAGCAUUCAGAUGGGCACUCUAGCGAGACUGCCGGUGACAAACCGGAGGAAGGCGGGGACAACGUCAGAUCAUCAUGCCCCUUAUGACCUGGGCUACACA
rnacentral:rRNA from 1 species